GCUACGAACAUUCGUGUUCACGUUUCUGGGAGGGCAUAUAUUUUCAUUUUCUCUGGGGUAUGUAACUAGAGGUGAGAAUUGCUGGGUCACAUGGUACUGUACGUUAAUUGUUUGAGGAGCCACCAGUUUUCCAAAGCAGCUGCACCAUUUCACCCUCCCACUAGCAGCAUAUGAGUAGUCGUUUCUCUACAUCCUCACCUAAACCUGUUUCAAUUCCCACUCCGACUUCAGCUCUCUGUGUAAGCGUUGCUUCCCCUGGGAGGGCUCUCCUUGGGCCUUGAUCCCCACACCAGGAUCUAGGUCAGCUUUCUUUGCUUUAUGCUCUCUGGAAACAGUGCUCCAGGCAACUGUGCUCUUCAGGGCACACAGGCAUUCUUUAGUGCAUAUUCCACUAAUAACUGUCUUUCCCCACACACUGUAGGCUCUGAGAUGGCGGAGACUGUGUGUUUUGUUCACCUUCACAACCUCACCCGAAGCCUGGCCUGCAGCAGCUCACUGUAAAUCUGUGGUAAUUUGAGAAUCUGAUGAUUGCAGCUGGAAAGACUGCAGAGAGCACCUGGGUCAACCUUUUCAUUUUGCAUAAAGGGAAAUAGGCCCAGAGAAAGAAAAGGGACUGUCCCAAGAUCGCACAGCAACCAUUUUGACCUUCAACAAGUACUCCCUGACUCCAAGCAAUAAGGGUGAAAAAAUAAGGAAUAAAUUGUAUAAAGCACGUA
rnacentral:lncRNA from 1 species